rnacentral:lncRNA from 1 species
UGGCAACUAUUGUGGCUACUAGUCCAGGCGGCUUAGCCUCUGGAGUGGGUCCAGGACCCGCUCCAGCUGACCUCUGACUCCCUGGGGCCAACUUAGCCCUGGUCUUCCCGCUCCUCCGAUCUCCCACGCGAAUCGCCGCCAUGAGCUAACUCCCCACCCCCGGGCAGACCCGGGAGAGCUUUGAUUACCUGGGGUCUUCUGCUUCCUCCCAGACGUCAGCUCCGCUUCAGGAAUCGACUGAGACUUUGGCUCAGAGUUUGGUUCCAAUCCUGGACACGGAUUCAGCUGGAGAGCUGCCCCGGGGCCAGAGCAGUUCGCUGCUGCACACUGGGAUCUGAAUGACAAGCUGACUCGGCACAGAAGUCUCCCAGAGGUGGUUGCAAUGCUAGACUGGGAUCAGAACCAGGCCCUAGCUCGGCCUCUUCGCCUCAAAAGUAAGUUUCUAACUGUAGAUCUAGAUCAGGCUGCAGAUCAUCAGGCACAUGAAAUAUUUGUUCCACCUCUAGACAGAAAUCAAAAGCAAGGAACUUUACUGUUUCGCCCAAGAACCGGAAGAAAGAUCUAGCUCAGCAUCAAAGGCUUGCCAAGGUUGUUGUUGGAACUCCAUACCGAUUUGUAUCAAAACCUCAGCGUCAGAAACAAACUCUGCAGAAUGGGUAUUUAGAUUCAAGUAUGGAUAUACUGUAUCUGGGCAGCCUGCCUCCAGGACUCCAGGUGAACUCAGAUGAGCCUCCAGGGCCUCCUGAGCAAGCUGGACUUUCUCAGUUCCAUCUAGAGCCUGAAACUCAAAAUCUAGAAACCACUGAAGAGAUCCAGUCCUCUACUCCAGCAAGAAGCUGCAGCGCAGCUUCCACAGCUCCCUGAGGUGGUAGAACUUUCUUCAACCAAAGCUGGAGGCCCCAGCUCUGCCUUCACAGUCCCUUGAGGGGGUCCACUCUUCAACAGAGCAGAAGGCUCCAGCACAGCAGCUACCUGCCUUUGAAGAGAUCCUAGCUCCACCAUUGAUACAUCAUGAGGUAAAUGUUCCAUUGAAAAGUUGGAGUGAAGUUCAGCACUCACACUUGCCCAGUGUCACAAUCAAACCUGUGGACGUGGAGCUUACGGUAACUCCAGAGCCAGCCCUUCUGUCAAGAUGCUGGCAAUCAGUAUAUCAUGAAAAACAGACUGCCC